UACGUAGGGGGCAAGCGUUGUCCGGAAUCAUUGGGCGUAAAGAGCGUGUAGGCGGCCUGGUAAGUCCGCUGUGAAAGUCCAGGGCUCAACCCUGGAAUGCCGGUGGAAACUGUCAGGCUCGAGUCCGGAAGAGGCGAGUGGAAUUCCUGGUGUAGCGGUGAAAUGCGCAGAUAUCAGGAGGAACACCGACGGCGAAGGCAGCACUCUGGGCCGGUACUGACGCUGAGGAGCGAAAGCAUGGGGAGCGAACAGG
rnacentral:rRNA from 1 species